GGGGAGGGGGGUCUCCCUUGGCUCUACCUCCCGCGGCUGGGGCUACUCUCCGAGCCGCGGCCGCCACGGCGUGCGCCUCGGGCCUCCCAAACUGUUUCCAAACUGCCAAGACUGGAGGUGGGCGCGUGGGGACUCGGGGAGAAAGGAUGAGUUUUGGGGGAGGCGAUUGUGUGUUUAGACGCUGGGAGCCGUGGGGGGAGGCAGACGUCGACCUAAGACGAGUUGCAAUCGAGGUAUCUCGGCUCCGGCUUCCUCUUCUGCCCGGCGACCCCCUCCCCCCGGAGCUGAGCUGGGGAAGGGAAACCAGGAUUUUAACCACAUUAGCAUUCACAUUCCUGGGAGGAUGCAGCCCUCGUCUGGACCUGAGUGAUAGAAGCUAUUUUCUCUGUUUUUAUUUUUGGAGGGGAGCGCCCUGUAAUUGUCCUGAACACAUGCUUCUCCCCCGACACCCCCGGCUCCAGCCACCAACGAAAGAGAGUCCCCCUUUUUUGCAUUUAUCUUUUCCUUCCCCUUUCUUUAUUAAAGGUCCGGGAGUGGUGGUGACCAAUCAGAGCGCGGCUUCCAUUUUGUGAGUUCAACUCGGAGGCUCCCGGGCUUCGCGAGGACGCGUUUGCAGCCCCCUCUGCCUCUCCUCUCGGGCGGCUCAGGCGAACGAACCGUCUCGUUGGGGCUUCGUGGUCGUGUAUUUCAUAUUGGGGCUCUUUUCGGGGUUUGUAAUUUGGCCGUGGGUAGGUAAUUGGCUGGAGCAGGGCGGCAGGGCGCGGCAGCCAAUCAGCGCGUGGCUUCUAUAGGGCUUGAGUUAUUAGACGCUGAUCUCAAAACAUCCUUCAUCAGACACCAAGGAGAGGCCAACAGAUGAGGGGAGCCAUUUUUCUGCAAUGGAAUUAAAUGGCCAAGUGGGUUUUUCCUUUGUUGCAAGUGGGGAAUGUUUUUCCUUUGACUCCACCAUCCAGUUCAGGACGCCUGAAUGUGUUGUUUAACAUUUGUCAACAGGCUAAAGGACUCACUAUUGGAAGAAUGAAGAAGACCUUUUAAAAAGAUCUGGAUUUUUCCUUAUGACUUGGAAUCCAUCUUUGUCUUGUAUAACUAGGUCAUAGCACACCAUUAAUGUCAGCAGUUAACAGUUUUGAAUUCCAAAAAACCUAAGUAAAUGACAUAUUUAAUUUUUUUCCUCUUUUUUUUUCUUGGGUGGGUGGGGGGAGCUUGGAGCUGUCUUAAUCUGUAUUCUCUUUGAACAAUAAAUUUUUAAAUAUAGUUUCCUCUAUUAAACACUUAUACCUGGCCAUCUUAUUAACUCCUUCUCUCUUUAACAAGGUAAUGUUUUAAAUGUAUAGUUUUAGGAUUAGCGAAAUGGCAGCAACAACAAAAAAUUGUGAGCAGUUGUUACUCUUUUAAGUUUUUAAAAACCUUUUACAUUGUAAGUACCCAAUCCAUUCUGUCCUUACGCAGUGCAGUUUUCAUGUAAAUGUUGGCUGAGAUGUCCUUUAAUUUUGCGAACCUUCAUCUGCAUGUAUGUCUUUGUCUCUCUUGUCUAAUAUAAGCCAGUUAAAAUGCUUUUAGACGAUUUUGCUUUUAUAAAGCUAAGGUUUUUAGCUUCAAGCUUUUGAAAAUGUUUACAGCAAUAAAUGCUAGUCAGCUUUCUUCCCAGUAACGUGUACACUUUCUUUGAAAAUCGAUCUAUUUGAAGAAAAACAGCUCUUGUUUUUCUCUUCUUGGGGUGGGAGAAUAGGGAGAGAAAGGAAGACCUUCUCUUUGUGUGGAAAGACUAAAGCGGUCACAGGAAACUAGAUUAAAACUGGAAAACAAGUCCUAGCUGGUUCGAGCCAAACACCAACGUUAACUCGGUGGUAUUUUCUAUGGUGGUUGGGAUGGCUGUUGCGCUUUUGCCUUUUGUUUGACUGUGUGUUUUCGCCUUUUGUCUCUUAAUGACGAUCACACCAUUGCUAUAUCCAGAGCAGUAAACAGUCCUCUGCGAAGCCGACUUUUUGCCAACCCAACUCUGGAAAAUGCAGACGUGGAAGGAAGCAGAAAAUGCCAUGAGAGUAUAACUUACAAAAAGGUUCUUGACCGGAGAAGGGGCCAUGUCUUGGUACCCCCGCAGAGUGGACAAUCCUUUCUUCUGGAUAACAGGAGCAGGCCUAGUGUGACUGACAGUCCUCCCACUGAGCUGGCCUAACAGCCAGUCCUUCCACUCCUGCCCUUGGACCCUCACGAAGCAAGAAGGUGCUAAACUAUAGUCUGGAUGUGAUUCUUGGAAGGUAAAGAUGGCUCAGAGCAACGUGGAAGGAUUGUGCCUCUCCCUGCUUCUGACUUUCCAGUACCUCCCUCUUCUUUCUUUGUCCCCACCUCCCUUCUCCUGGGACAUGGAGGGGCGGGGCAGCCUGUCCUCCUGUCAUUCUCCUGGUUCUAAGAGAGGUGCUCCACCCACAGUCACCCAGUGAGCUAGGGGCGGGCCUGCUCCAAGCAAGCAGAGAGAAAGCCACGCCAGCAGAAGGGUUUUCCGGGACUGGGAGGAGGCUGGACUAACCUUACUACUGAGAGGCUAGUGUCCCACCUCUUCCGGUGCUGAAUAUGACCUUUUAGACCCUCACCGUAGAGACCGAUGACAUGUAGCUGCCUGGACUGGGGAGAGUGACAUCCCACCAUAUAGGAUCUCUUGACCCCAAUGCUUUCUCCAGCCAACUUGUGACUACCUUUCAGUUCCUGCCUAUGUGAACUGGAAGGAGGAAGUUAGAAGGUAACCUUCUGAGUUCUUUCUAAAUUUUUGUUAAAGAGAGGGAAUCUCACUUCAUUUCCCAGGCUGGCCUCAAACUCCUGGGCUUAAGUGAGCCUCUGCCUCAGCCUCCCAAGUAGCUGGGACCAUAGGCACAUGCCACCUUGGCUUAUGAGGGGAGCAUUUUGUACUCCAGAGGUGACCUACCCAUCCUCCACCUGCCCUCUAAUGCUUAUAGGCUGCUGAGGCCUAGAGGGAGUCCUUUAGCCAGGUGGAUAGACAGCCUGCUUCUCCCAGGUAUCCUGGCUUAGCCACCUGGCUUCUCUGGGCCCUCCGGAAGUAGCUUAAAGCUCCUGUCUUUGGGCUGGGGGUGCUGGGAUCUUUAUCUUCCAUUGUUAUUUAAUCAUUGGGUGGUUAAAUAAUUUAUGGUGCCUCAACACCCAGGGAAGUGGGUGCCCCAUCCUAACUUGGACUGGCUGGACUUUGCCCUGAAAGAUCAAAGUGGUUCAGCACCCUCCACACCCCUGCUCUGUUUCCCUGUUGGCUUCUCUAUGGCAGAGGCCUCCUUGUGGCUACAAAGGCCACCUGGUAUCUCCUUGGGGCUUCUGUGUCCCCCAGCUCUUGCAGCAAGAAUCAGCCUAAAGAUUUUUUCUUUCCCUCCUAAAACUCUCCAGGAAUUCCUAGUGAGCGGGAGAUUGACUUGGGUCUGGGUCCUCAGAACAUCUUGCAGGUGAGGGAGCAGGCCUCUUGGGUGGGUGUGCCCAGCUCUGCAGCUGGCUUAGCCUGGCAGGCCUCCUCUUAGGAAGUUCUGAGCAGCUGGCUAGGCUCCUGGCUAUUUUUAGCUACAUAUCCAGCCCCACCAUUACCAUGAGUCCUGGGUCCAAAUCAAACACGCUCCAGGCUGGAUGGGGCUGGGGCUCUGCCAGCCUUCUGACCAGGCAGGGGUGGGUGGGUAGGCAGUCUCAGGCCAGUGGCAGCUGUUCUCCCUGGGCCCAGGCAGGAGAAUGCUGGUAUUUGCUCCUUUCCUCCCUUGCAUUUUGUGCAGGCUUGCUCUGUUGCAGAGAUCAUAGCCACAUUUCUAGGACAAAGAGUGGAUGAAGGAUGAAGAUACUGAGGUUUGAGGAUGUUGAGAAAUGUCAGCAGCCCUCCAUGGUGUGUAUUGUUAACCAGGUGUUAUGAGCCUAAGUGAGUUCUCUCUUCCUGUCCCUAUCUUUCCCUGAGCUUCAGGGUGCCGGGUGCAGCUGGAGGGGAGAAGCCUGGGGCCCCUGCAAAGGUAAGUGGUUCUCACCCCUACUCCCCAAACUCACUUUUCAUGGCACAGUUACUCCAUCCUUGGUUGGCCCCCUCUUCCCCUGCCAACCUUAGGGUGCCACUGAGAGACUGGCACCAGAUCCAGCCCUGCCUUGCCAUCAAGCUGGCUCCUUCCUGAUCACCCUGGGAUAAUUCAGGCCUAAAUGUGGUUGGACCUCCUCCCUUGUGCAGGAGCCUCCUUCCAACAUCCCCCUUGAGCCUGGCAGUCAGGCCCUGCAGCAUUGAACCCCCGUUACUUGUCCAUGUGGUUUGGGUACUAACCCUUGAAAAUGGUUCACCUGCGGCCCACUCCAAAGCCUCACCAUGUCCUGGUUGUCUCACUCUCCGGCCACUGCAGAACCUGAGGCUUUCCUAGUUACGGUGCAUUUGCCCAGGCAGAGUAUCUAGCCUGCCAUCCAGCACUGCCCAGCUUAGUUCAAAUGCCAACCACCUCAGCUUUCCCUGGGACCUUGACUGUGCUCUCUAAAUUGCUCACAUCUCCCAAACCCCAUCAGAAAUUGCUUCCCCAAGACUGAGCUCUUAUGAGGCAGGAACCCAAUUGCCUCUCAAUAAACA